rnacentral:lncRNA from 14 species
GUCAAGGUCAAGUUUAAGGUCAAGGUCAUGGCUAUAGCUCCGCCCCCCAGUCCCUCCAUCAUCAGCCAGGAGCUGACAUGGGGGGGACAGGGUCCCGGGUAAAGCUUGGGGGGGGGCACAGGGCAGGGGAAGGGUCCCCUGGUAAAAGGUGGGGGACACUCAGGUGGUCCCCCAGGGAAGAGGGGGGGGGUUUGGUGGAGGAAGGGGGGGUUCAGCCCCCAGCAGACCCCCUGGCUCCCCACAGUCGGGCAGCAGUGGGGAGUGAAGGGGUCCAAAGUGGGGCCGGUGCAAUCCCCGAGUCCAUCGCAGGGAGCUGUGGGGGCACCUCCAGCCCCAGGGCUGCAAACUGGUGGGUGCAGGGAACCAGGAGCACCCAGGGCCCACAGGCUGGUCCAUCAGUCUGCCCCAUUGCUGGGGGCCAUGGGCCCGGGUCCAGCAUCCAGAGAUGCUGAACUCCAACCGGGAUAAGGCAAAGGUGUGCAGGUGCUACAGACCCACCAGGGCUGCUGGCAAGGGCAGAGGGGGUCCCAGCACUCAGAAUAGAGGGGUCCCAAUCAGGGUGGGAUGGGGACUGCAGCUGCCCUGGGGGGAGCCAGGUCCGGUCCAACCACGAGAGCUGCUGAUGGGUGGACAGCAGAUCCUGAGUGGGACCCCCCAAGGAACAUGGGCCUUUGGGUGGGGGGGUCUGGGCUUGCAGAGGUGGGGGGGGCCCAGCCCUGGGUUCCCCAGGGGGUCCUACAGCAGGGGUCCAGACAGCCUUGAGUCAAACCACAGCAGCAGCUCCUCCAGCCGGAGCUGUGGGGUGGUUAUGGGGGGGCCAUGGUGGGGAUGGGGCUGCCGAUGGUUGGGGGUCCGAAAGCAGCAGCCCCAUCCCUGCUGCAGGCUGGAGGCACUGGUUAUGGGGGGGCCAUGGUGGGGAUGGGGCUGCCGAUGGUUUGAGGUCCUAAAGCAGCAGCCCCAUCCCUGCUGCAGGCACCAGCCUCACCCCCGGCUCCCACCUCUGUCCUCACACCACCGAGGCCACCCCCGAGACAGACGUCACCUUGUUGUCCUCGGCCCAGGGCUGCAGGUUCUGCAGGGCAUAGAGGGAGGAGUUGUGCAUGCAGAGCGGGUCCUGGGGCAGUGGUUGGCUCAGGCUCUUCUGGAAGGCCUCUUGCUGCAGGUGCAGCAUCAGGCGGUUGGCCUGUUGGCGCUCGGCCUCGCGCUCCUCUGCCGUCUGCCUCCUGCCGGCACACACAGCACAUCCGGCACUGCCACAGACACUGCUGUGACCGGUGCUGUGACCGGUGCUGUGAGCGGUGCUGCAACCACCACUGCAACCACUGCCACAGACACUGCUGUGACCAGUGCUGUGACCGGUGCUGCAACCAUCACUGCAACCACUGCC